rnacentral:rRNA from 1 species
GAUGAACGCUGGCGGCGUGCUUAACACAUGCAAGUCGAACGGAAAGGCUCCUGCUUGCAGGGGUACUCGAGUGGCGAACGGGUGAGUAACACGUGGGUGAACUGCCCUGCACUUCGGGAUAAGCCUGGGAAACUGGGUCUAAUACCGGAUAGGACCACAUUUUGGAUGGUGUGGUGGAAAGUUUUUCGGUGUGGGAUGAGCUCGCGGGCUAUCAGCUUGUUGGUGGGGUAAUGGCCUACGAAGGCGUCGACGGGUAGCCGGCAUGAGAGGGUGUACGGCCACAUUGGGACUGAGAGACGGCCCAGACUCCUACGGGAGGCAGCAGUGGGGAAUAUUGCACAAUGGGGGCGAGCCUGAUGCAGCGACGCCGCGUGGGGGAUGACGGCCUACGGGGUGUAAACACCUUUCGCUAGGGACGAAGAGCAAGUGACGGUACCUGGAGAAGAAGCAACGGCUAACUACGUG